GACGAACGCUGGCGGCGUGCUUAACACAUGCAAGUCGAACGGAAAGGCCCUGCUUUUGUGGGGUGCUCGAGUGGCGAACGGGUGAGUAACACGUGAGUAACCUGCCCUUGACUUUGGGAUAACUUCAGGAAACUGGGGCUAAUACCGGAUAGGAGCUCCUGCUCCAUGGUGGGGGUUGGAAAGUUUCGGCGGUUGGGGAUGGACUCGCGGCUUACCAGCUUGUUGGUGGGGUAGUGGCUUACCAAGGCUUUGACGGGUAGCCGGCCUGGGAGGGUGACCGGCCACAUUGGGACUGAGGUACGGCCCAGACUCCUACGGGAGGAAGCAGUGGGGAAUAUUGCACAAUGGGCGGAGGCCGGAUGCAGCAACGCCGCGUGCGGGAUGACGGCCUUCGGGUUGUAAACCGCUUUCGCCUGUGACGAAGCGUGAGUGACGGUAAUGGGUAAAGAAGCACCGGCUAACUACGU
rnacentral:rRNA from 1 species